rnacentral:rRNA from 1 species
GGUACGCGAGCUGGGUUUAGAACGUCGUGAGACAGUUCGGUCCCUAUCUGCCGUGGGCGUUGGAGAAUUGAUUGGGGCUGCUCCUAGUACGAGAGGACCGGAGUGGACGCACCACUGGUGUUCCGGUUGUGUCGCCAGACGCAUUGCCGGGUAGCUAAGUGCGGAAGAGAUAAGUGCUGAAAGCAUCUAAGCACGAAACUUGCCAAGAGAUGAGUUCUCCCAGAUUUAAAAUCUGUAAGGGUUGUUUAAGACUAAGACGUAGAUAGGUCUGGUGUGUAAGCGGUGCGAGCCGUUGAGCUAACAGAUACUAAUUGCCCGAGAGGCUUAACUAUACAACGCUCAAGGGUUUUG